UCAUUCAGGACUCAAGCUUCAUAAACAUUUUUUUUCUCACAGGCCCCUUCAGCAUAGCACAGAAGGAACACAGUUUCUAGAAGUUCCUUGACCUAAACUCAAACUUUGUCUCCUCUCAAAUUAGUUGUAUAAGCUUUUUUUUUUUUGGAUCACAAACGCUGUAUUUAAAGGUCCAUCUCAAUUUACUGUGGCGGCACAAAAUAAAGGAGCAGGUCGUGACACACCAUUUCCAUCUCAAGUGGUCGAAUCCAACAUCCAAGGCCCAGUGAGCAGCCAAGCUCAGCACAACCUCCCAUCCUCUCGCUCUGACUCCAACAGGGUGAGCACGUCGCCCUCGCGCACGGGGCCUUUUACAUUGCGGAUGAUGGUGCAGCUUGUGUUGUCCCUAAAUUCCAUGCGCACCUGCAUGCACUGUCCCUGAGAGCUGGUCCUGCCCAGGACCUUGGUGACCCUGGCCAGCUCGAUAGGCUGCACAUGGCUGGUAUCCAUCAUGGCGGCUCAGGGGCGGUCUGGCGGACUUUUCUAAAAAUUUUUUUA